UACGUAGGGCGCAAGCGUUAUCCGGAAUUAUUGGGCGUAAAGAGCUCGUAGGCGGUUUGUCGCGUCUGCCGUGAAAGUCCGGGGCUCAACUCCGGAUCUGCGGUGGGUACGGGCAGACUAGAGUGAUGUAGGGGAGACUGGAAUUCCUGGUGUAGCGGUGAAAUGCGCAGAUAUCAGGAGGAACACCGGUGGCGAAGGCGGGUCUCUGGGCAAACAACUGACGCUGAGGAGCGAAAGCGUGGGGAGCGAACAGG
rnacentral:rRNA from 1 species